AAUCCAUAGGUUAAUGAGGCGAACCGGGGGAACUGAAACAUCUAAGUACCCCGAGGAAAAGAAAUCAACCGAGAUUCCCCCAGUAGCGGCGAGCGAACGGGGAGGAGCCCAGAGCCUGAAUCAGCAUGUGUGUUAGUGGAAGCGUCUGGAAAGGCGCGCGAUACAGGGUGACAGCCCCGUACACAAAAGCGCAUGUGCUGUGAGCUCGAUGAGUAGGGCGGGACACGUGGUAUCCUGUCUGAAUAUGGGGGGACCAUCCUCCAAGGCUAAAUACUCCUGACUGACCGAUAGUGAACCAGUACCGUGAGGGAAAGGCGAAAAGAACCCCGGCGAGGGGAGUGAAAAAGAACCUGAAACCGUGUACGUACAAGCAGUGGGAGCACCCUUUGGGGUGUGACUGCGUACCUUUUGUAUAAUGGGUCAGCGACUUAUAUUCUGUAGCAAGGUUAACCGAAUAGGGGAGCCGGAGGGAAACCGAGUCUUAACCGGGCGUUAAGUUGCAGGGUAUAGACCCGAAACCCGGUGAUCUAGCCAUGGGCAGGUUGAAGGUUGGGUAACACUAACUGGAGGACCGAACCGACUAAUGUUGAAAAAUUAGCGGAUGACCUGUGGCUGGGGGUGAAAGGCCAAUCAAACCGGGAGAUAGCUGGUUCUCCCCGAAAGCUAUUUAGGUAGCGCCUCGUGAAUUCAUCUCCGGGGGUAGAGCACUGUUUCGGCUAGGGGGCCAUCCCGGCUUACCAACCCGAUGCAAACUGCGAAUACCGGAGAAUGUUAUCACGGGAGACACACGGCGGGUGCUAACGUCCGUCGUGAAGAGGGAAACAACCCAGACCGCCAGCUAAGGUCCCAAAGUCAUGGUUAAGUGGGAAACGAUGUGGGAAGGCCCAGACAGCCAGGAUGUUGGCUUAGAAGCAGCCAUCAUUUAAAGAAAGCGUAAUAGCUCACUGGUCGAGUCGGCCUGCGCGGAAGAUGUAACGGGGCUAAACCAUGCACCGAAGCUGCGGCAGCGACGCUGAUGCGUUGUUGGGUAGGGGAGCGUUCUGUAAGCCUGUGAAGGUGGCCUGUGAGGGUUGCUGGAGGUAUCAGAAGUGCGAAUGCUGACAUAAGUAACGAUAAAGCGGGUGAAAAGCCCGCUCGCCGGAAGACCAAGGGUUCCUGUCCAACGUUAAUCGGGGCAGGGUGAGUCGACCCCUAAGGCGAGGCCGAAAGGCGUAGUCGAUGGGAAACGGGUUAAUAUUCCCGUACUUGGUGUUACUGCGAAGGGGGGACGGAGAAGGCUAUGUUGGCCGGGCGACGGUUGUCCCGGUUUAAGCGUGUAGGUGUGUGUUCCAGGUAAAUCCGGUUCACUUUAACACUGAGGCGUGAUGACGAGGCACUACGGUGCUGAAGCAACAAAUGCCCUGCUUCCAGGAAAAGCCUCUAAGCAUCAGGUAACAUCAAAUCGUACCCCAAACCGACACAGGUGGUCAGGUAGAGAAUACCAAGGCGCUUGAGAGAACUCGGGUGAAGGAACUAGGCAAAAUGGUGCCGUAACUUCGGGAGAAGGCACGCUGACACGUAGGUGAAGUGAUUUACUCAUGGAGCUGAAGUCAGUCGAAGAUACCAGCUGGCUGCAACUGUUUAUUAAAAACACAGCACUGUGCAAACACGAAAGUGGACGUAUACGGUGUGACGCCUGCCCGGUGCCGGAAGGUUAAUUGAUGGGGUCAGCGCAAGCGAAGCUCCUGAUCGAAGCCCCGGUAAACGGCGGCCGUAACUAUAACGGUCCUAAGGUAGCGAAAUUCCUUGUCGGGUAAGUUCCGACCUGCACGAAUGGCGUAAUGAUGGCCAGGCUGUCUCCACCCGAGACUCAGUGAAAUUGAACUCGCUGUGAAGAUGCAGUGUACCCGCGGCAAGACGGAAAGACCCCGUGAACCUUUACUAUAGCUUGACACUGAACAUUGAGCCUUGAUGUGUAGGAUAGGUGGGAGGCUUUGAAGUGUGG
rnacentral:rRNA from 1 species